UACGAAGGGGGCUAGCGUUGCUCGGAAUCACUGGGCGUAAAGGGUGCGUAGGCAGGUCUUUAAGUCAGGGGUGAAAUCCUGGGGCUCAACUCCAGAACUGCCUUUGAUACUGAGGAUCUUGAGUUCGGGAGAGGUGAGUGGAACUGCGAGUGUAGAGGUGAAAUUCGUAGAUAUUCGCAAGAACACCAGUGGCGAAGGCGGCUCACUGGCCCGAUACUGACGCUGAGGCACGAAAGCGUGGGGAGCAAACAGG
rnacentral:rRNA from 1 species